UCAGAGGAUUGGAUGAUGCCAGCCCACAUUGGUGAGGGUGAUCUUCUUCAGUGUACUGAUUCAAGUGCUCAUCUCUUCAGGAAACACCCUUAUAGACAACUCCAGAAAUAAUGUUUUACCAGCUAUCUGGGACAUCCCUUAGCCCAAUCAGGUUGACACAUAACAUUAACCAGCACAAUGACUAUCAACUAGUACUGAAAGUGAUUGUGGAGCAAAAGAAAAACUUCACCAAAAAAUCUACACGAAGGAGUAUAACUCAACAUAUGUCAAAGGCAAAAAAGCAUAUGAAGGAAGGAUAAAAACACUCUUAUGCUACAACUGUUAACAUACUGAGGAAAUGAAGCAUAAAGAGUGAAUAUAUUAACCCAGCCCUAAUAAAUGGAAAUGACUCCUUCUCUUCUCCUCCUCUUCUCAAUCAGCUUCAUAUAAUUGGUCUUUGCCUGCAUUCUACCAUAUACAGUCUUUCUGAUGAAAAAUAAGAUACAAUAACUUCACCAAAAUGUAAAGGACAAAUAUAAAGAGAAAACUUUAUUCUAGUGCUUAUAAGACUGUUUAUUAAUCAUGGCUCACUGUAGAAAGCUUUUAAAACCAAUAUCUUCAAACUUCCAGAACAAUUCAGAAUUGAAAAAUAAAAGGGAGAGAGAGAAAUGAAAACCCAACUGAACUACAUUCCUAAAAAUGUUGUCACUGGGUGUCUGCUUUUUCAAUAAGAGCCCAGAAAUUAUGACCAACAGCUACAAUGCUUCUUUUAAGAGAGACUGAUUUUACUCUUACAAAGAUUUUGGUUCAUCCACUCAUUCACAAUUUUGAAAUCCAUAAUUGUUGACUGAGAUCAAAUCUCAUAAAUCUAGUGCAAUGACCUUUUAAUUUGUGGACUUCAAAAUAAUGAACCAUUAGAAUCCAUGUAAUUUUGUAUAAAAUUAUCUUGUUGCCAUUGUAAAUUGCACCAUUAAGAACAAAACAAAACACACCAUAUCCUUAGCAACUGUGGAGUAUUUUU